CGCCAAGCUAUGUUUGUGCCGGAAAUGAUGUCGAACUGUCGUAAAACAGUGUUUGUUCCCUCCUCCCCCGGUCAAACUGUCAGUGCAACCUGCAGCCUGCGGGAAGGUGGACUUAUUAAGUCCUGUAACCUGUCCUUAAGAAGAGGGGAGCUGCAGCGAAUACACUGAGAAUUCACAUCCAGGCCUCUGAAGACACUUUCUUGGUUGAAAAGGUUGUGUAGGUGUGUCUGGCCAGCCCUACAUUCAGAGGUGCAACACCUUCGUAGAAGAGUCUGGAAGAGAGAUGAAGAUGCAGAGGAGGAGAUGAAACAUCCUGGAGGGAUCAUUGUGCUGAAGGAUUACGAGGGGAGGAUUUCAGCUGACUGUUUUCAUCCUCUGGUCAUCUGCUUGGAUGUCUUGGAAUAGAUCAUCUGACUUCUGAAGGACAGCAUUUACCUGCAUGGAUCUGCUGGAUUAUUACCUGAGCGACACCUGGGCAGACUGCUGUUAUCGAUUAUUACAGAUUAGUUCCUUAUGAAUGGGCUGUUACCUGAAGUCUCUUCCUGCGUUGCGUUCACUGGUUAGCAGUGACCCAUACAGCUCCCUAAGGACCCUCUAAUAACAGCUAAUGGGCUGUUAAAGUACUGAACGAGGCCUCCACAGCUCAAGACUGGAUGGUCGGGUCUCACCACCAAUUACAGCUCAUCGAACAGGAGAGGCCGAGGGCUGAUUUCGUCAGUAAUUUGUGAGUGUGUGUGAGAGUGCACCUGCGUGUGUGUGUGUGUAUGUGUGCAUCCGUCAGUCAGGCUCCUCUUCCACCCAGCUAGCUGCGCAUAGGCAGUCAUUAGCAGCAGCAGAAGCCAGUCAUUAAGCCUGUCAUUUCCUCUGUCUGCCAGCUGACCUACUGAUUUGGACAGCUUCUGUACUUAACCUAUGAACUCUGAUUCCCAUGCUCACUGCACGUGUGUGUGUGUGUGUGUGUGUGUGUGUGUGUGUGUGUAUGUGGAAGCAGUGGAGGGCUACAAGAUGAAAGAUGAACAGUGUUUGAUUAUGUGAUUUGGGAUGCAGAUAUGUAUGGUGUGGCCAUGUCUACAUUAAUGGUGCUAAAUUUUAAAGCAUUUUUUUAAAUCAGUGUUGCCAAAACGGAAAUACCCUUUUCCUCCUUUGUUUGCCUUGUUAAGAACAGAAUUGUGCAGAUCUCGUUCUCUUUCAACAGUUCUCUUUUUCUGUUUCUGUAUAACAUAUUAAGAUGAUCAAAGGCCAUACAUGUAACAUUUUCUUCCAGACUGAGAAUGCCUCGAUAUCUCUAAAUAAAGAGAUAUGCCAAUUAGAACACCACUAUGUAAUACGUUAGAGUAUUCUGACAUACAAAAUGAGUUAUCACAGGGAGGUUCGAUCAGAGCAAAGUAUCCAGUAUAUUUAUUCAGUCUAUAUCCAUUGAAACUCACUCUUUUCUAGAUGAUGGCUGAAAUGCAGCAUUUUCACAGUUUGACAGAGUACAGAAUUUAAAGAGAACUCAAAAUGAAGUCCACAAACUAACGGGUGACGUCUUGGUGGCUGCAUCCUCAUCGUUUAUACAGUCUAUGAUUGCUUGCUGCUGCUUACAGAACUACAGAACUGCACUGUAAAGGCAAGGCACCAUCAAAAUUUAAUUUCCUUUUGAUUUGUUACUGUUGAAGUUGGUUGUUUUCCUACAAAGCCAUAUUUGUCAACU